rnacentral:misc_RNA from 1 species
CUUGCCCGAACUUUGUUUGUUGGCCCAUCUCGAGAAGCUUGCAUCCAUGCACGUUUAAGGAGCAACCAGAAUUGCCUCCACCAAGACUCUUUCCUUUUCACAACAGUUUUCUUGCUUAACUUCCUGUCAUUCUUAGGGCUCUCCCUUCUGGUAAGGGGAGUUGCAUAAAGCAUCAUUGACAAUUGUUGUGAGAAUGACUCAACAAGACCAUCU